AUUGAACGCUGGCGGCAUGACUUACACAUGCAAGUCGAACGGCAGCAUGGGUGCUUGCACCUGAUGGCGAGUGACGAACGGGUGAGUAAUGCAUCGGAACGUACCCGGAAGUGGGGGAUAACGUAGCGAAAGUUACGCUAAUACCGCAUAUUCUGUGAGCAGGAAAGUGGGGGAUCGCAAGACCUUGCGCUUCCGGACCGCACGAUUUCGGAUUAGUCAGUCGGCGGGGUAAAGGCCCACCAAGGCAACGAUCCCUAGCGGGUCUGAGGGGAUGAUCCGCCGCACUAGGACUGUGACGCGGCCCAGACUCCUACGGGAGGCAGCAGUGGGGAAUUUUGGACGAUGGGGGCAACCCUGAUCCAGCCAUGCAGCGUGGGUGAAGAAGGCCUUCGGGUUGUAGAGCUCAUUCGGCCGGGAAGAAAUCGCACGGGCUAAUACCCUGUGUGGAUGACGGUACCGGAAUAAGAAGCACCGGCUAACUACGUGCCAGCCGCCGCGGUAAAAC
rnacentral:rRNA from 1 species